GACGUAGGAUGCAAGCGUUGUCCGGAUUUAUUGGGCGUAAAGAGUUCGUAGGUGGUUUGUUAAGUCUGAUGUUAAGGACUGGGGCUCAACCUCGGGACUGCAUUGGAUACUGGCAGACUUGAGUGCGGUAGAGGCAAGUGGAAUUCCUGGUGUAGCGGUGAAAUGCGUAGAUAUCAGGAGGAACACCGGUGGUGUAGACGGCUUUCUGGACCGUAACUGACGCUGAGACACGAAAGCGUGGGUAGCAAACAGG
rnacentral:rRNA from 1 species